CAACGCGUUGGGAGCUCUCCCAUAUGGUCGACCUGCAGGCGGCCGCGAAUUCACUAGUGAUUAGAGUUUGAUCAUGGCUCAGAAUGAACGCUGGCGGCAGGCCUAACACAUGCAAGUCGAACGGAGUUAUAUUGUAGCUUGCUAUGGUAUAACUUAGUGGCAGACGGGUGAGUAAUGUAUAGGAAUCUACCUAGUAGUACGGAAUAAUUGUUGGAAACGGCAACUAAUACCGUAUACCACCCUACGGGGGAAAAAUUUAUUGCUAUUAGAUGAGCCUAUAUUAGAUUAGCUAGUUGGUGGAGUAAUAGCCUACCAAGGCAAUGAUCUAUAGCUGAUCUGAGAGGAUGAUCAGCCACACUGGAACUGAGAUACGGUCCAGACUCCUACGGGAGGCAGCAGUGGGGAAUAUUGGACAAUGGGCGAAAGCCUGAUCCAGCCAUGCCGCAUGAGUGAAGAAGGCCUUUGGGUUGUAAAGCUCUUUUAGUGAGGAAGAUAAUGACGGUACUCACAGAAGAAGUCCUGGCUAACUCCGUGCCAGCAGCCGCGGUAAUACGGAGAGGGCUAGUGUUAUUCGGAAUUAUUGGGCGUAAAGGGCGCGUAGGCUGGUUAGUAAGUUAAAAGUGAAAUCCCGAGGCUUAACCUUGGAACUGCUUUUAAAACUGCUAGUCUAGAGAUUGAAAGAGGAUAGAGGAAUUCCUAGUGUAGAGGUGAAAUUCGUAAAUAUUAGGAGGAACACCAGUGGCGAAGGCGUCUAUCUGGUUCAAAUCUGACGCUGAGGCGCGAAGGCGUGGGGAGCAAACAGGAUUAGAUACCCUGGUAGUCCACGCUGUAAACGAUGAAUGUUAAAUAUGGGAAGUUUACUUUCUGUAUUACAGCUAACGCGUUAAACAUUCCGCCUGGGGACUACGGUCGCAGGAUUAAAACUCAAAGGAAUUGACG
rnacentral:rRNA from 1 species